UACGUAGGGGGCAAGCGUUGUCCGGAUUUAUUGGGCGUAAAGAGCGUGUAGGCGGCCAGGUAGGUCCGCUGUGAAAACUCGAGGCUCAACCUCGAGAUGUCGGCGGAAACCAUCUGGCUAGAGUCCGGAAGAGGAGUGUGGAAUUCCUGGUGUGAGCGGUGAAUGCGUAGAUAUCAGGAGGAACACCGGUGGCGAAGGCGCUCAUCUGGCCCAAUACUGACGCUGCAGCGCGAAAGCUAGGGGAGCAAACGGG
rnacentral:rRNA from 1 species